GAAAUCCUCAAAAUAAAUCUUUUGUUCAUUCGAUUGAUUUUAUUUUGGACUUGGAGGUCUGCAGAUUCACGUCUGCUCCUCUUAAAUGUAUUAGCUGGAUCUCAGUGAACUCGGUUCCACUCGGCGUGAUAAGUAUCACUCGCUGAGGACACUGUAAAAGGUGGCCGGGGUUGCAGACGAACCGCUUCUAAUCGUCCAUUGACUUGGACAAUUUAUUUAUGAUCUGAUCUCAAAUCAGGUAGGACUACCCGCUGAACUUAA
rnacentral:misc_RNA from 1 species